rnacentral:rRNA from 1 species
AACGAACGCUGGCGGCAGGCUUAACACAUGCAAGUCGAACGCCCCGCAAGGGGAGUGGCAGACGGGUGAGUAACGCGUGGGAACAUACCCUUUUCUACGGAAUAGCUCUGGGAAACUGGAAUUAAUACCGUAUACGCCCUACGGGGGAAAGAUUUAUCGGGGAAGGAUUGGCCCGCGUUGGAUUAGCUAGUUGGUGGGGUAAAGGCCUACCAAGGCGACGAUCCAUAGCUGGUCUGAGAGGAUGAUCAGCCACAUUGGGACUGAGACGCGGCCCAAACUCCUACGGGAGGCAGCAGUGGGGAAUAUUGGACAAUGGGCGCAAGCCUGAUCCAGCCAUGCCGCGUGAGUGAUGAAGGCCUUAGGGUUGUAAAGCUCUUUCACCGAUGAAGAUAAUGACGGUAGUCGGAGAAGAAGCCCCGGCUAACUUCGUG